rnacentral:rRNA from 1 species
GACGAACGCUGGCGGCGUGCUUAACACAUGCAAGUCGAACGGAAAGGCCCUGCUUUUGUGGGGUGCUCGAGUGGCGAACGGGUGAGUAACACGUGAGUAACCUGCCCUUGACUUUGGGAUAACUUCAGGAAACUGGGGCUAAUACCGGAUAGGAGCUCCUGCUGCAUGGUGGGGGUUGGAAAGUUUCGGCGGUUGGGGAUGGACUCGCGGCUUAUCAGCUUGUUGGUGGGGUAGUGGCUUACCAAGGCUUUGACGGGUAGCCGGCCUGAGAGGGUGACCGGCCAGGGGGGGGGGGAGGGGAGGACCAGGGUAGUACGGGAGGAGUGAGUGGGAUAGAUGGGCCAGUGGGGGGAGACGUGAGGAAGCAAGGACGGGUGCUGGAGGACGGCCGGCGGGUGGGAAACCGCGUGAGCGGGGGAAGAAGCGGGAGGUACGUGGAUGGGGAAAGAAGCACCGGCUAACUACGGG